GUCAAAGAACGAAUCUACACAGCUAACGACGUCAGCCUUUCAAGAGCCAAUGAAGUCAAGGUGUCUUUUUCACAAAAAAUGAAAGAACUAUUUCAAGGCUCUCAUAAAGUCACAACCGAGAAGACAGAAGCCUUUACAGUCCCAGCAGGAGCCGCUGUCGCUUACAGCCUCGUGUACAUCACUGUUAUAGAAGAAAGAAUUAAAAUGCAGAUGCACUGUUUGGAUACCAG